rnacentral:sRNA from 1 species
UUGAUUGUUUUUUAUACAAGUAACGCAGGUUCGGCCCUGGCCCAGCCCAUCUGCUAUAAAAAAAAGUGCAACUCUUGCACUACUUCCGUUUACUUACUAAAAGUAAUAGGUAGUAUGUAGGCCGGCUAAUUUCCCGCCGUUGGGGAA